rnacentral:lncRNA from 1 species
GAGAGAGAGAGAGAGAGAGAGAGAGAGGGAGGGGAGAGGCGGGUGGGCGGCGAGGGGUUUAAGGGGAGGCGAGUGGUCUAAUAGGGUUCAACCCGGUAUCUCGACCCUCCGAUCCAGUGUACCAGAUUGCGACACGUCAGCGACGUGUGGAUCCGACGGCCGAUACAUAAAUCUUAGAGUUUGGUGGGCGCGGGCGGGGAGAGAAACGGAGUGCCCGAUCCCGCAGCCUCCCUCUCUUCUCCCGCCAUCUCGAGACCUCUCUCUUCCCCACCAGCGCUCUCUUGACCGCUUAUUUCGCCUAGCCUCCCCAGAUCAAAUAGCCCUGAGGAAGUUGAGACACUGAUGGCAGCAGGAUUGCAAAAGAGGAUGGUGACAAUUAUGAAGGAACCUCGAUAGGAGGAAAGGGAGGAUGAGGAGGUGCAUAGCGUGGCAAGCAAGAAGGGGAAAGAGUAGCCAGUAGGGGGGACGAAGAUGAGAUACAUACAUAGUUACGAAUAUAUUUUUUUCAUGGUAUGUUUGCGAUGAUCAAGUUCGUUUUUCAUGCUUUGGUUGCAAGCGUUUGGUUGUCAUUUUG